GGCUUAGUGGUGGGGUGACUGCGUACCUUUUGUAUAAUGGGUCAGCGACUUAUAUUCUGUAGCAAGGUUAACCGCAUAGGGGAGCCGGAGGGAAACCGAGUCUUAAUUGGGCGUUAAGUUGCAGGGUAUAGACCCGAAACCCGGUGAUCUAGCCAUGGGCAGGUUGAAGGUUGGGUAACACUAACUGGAGGACCGAACCGACUAAUGUUGAAAAAUUAGCGGAUGACCUGUGGCUGGGGGUGAAAGGCCAAUCAAACCGGGAGAUAGCUGGUUCUCCCCGAAAGCUAUUUAGGUAGCGCCUCGUGAAUUCAUCUCCGGGGGUAGAGCACUGUUUCGGCCAGGGGGCCAUCCCGGCUUACCAAUCCGAUGCAAACUGCGAAUACCGGAGAAUGUUAUCACGGGAGACACACGGCGGGUGCUAACGUCCGUCGUGAAGAGGGAAACAACCCAGACCGCCAGCUAAGGUCCCAAAGUCAUGGUUAAGUGGGAAACGAUGUGGGAAGGCCCAGACAGCCAGGAUGUUGGCUUAGAAGCAGCCAUCAUUUAAAGAAAGCGUAAUAGCUCACUGGUCGAGUCGGCCUGCGCGGAAGAUGUAACGGGGCUAAACCAUGCACCGAAGCUGCGGCAGCGAACGUAUCACCCAAGACAACUUUACACAGUUGACGACUGACGGAGCGAAGCGACGUCAAAGCGUUUUACAACGUCGAGUUGGCUUAGGGAUACGUUCGUUGGGUAGGGGAGCGUUCUGUAAGCCGUUGAAGGUGGCCUGUGAGGGUUGCUGGAGGUAUCAGAAGUGCGAAUGCUGACAUAAGUAACGAUAAAGCGGGUGAAAAGCCCGCUCGCCGGAAGACCAAGGGUUCCUGUCCAACGUUAAUCGGGGCAGGGUGAGUCGACCCCUAAGGCGAGGCCGAAAGGCGUAGUCGAUGGGAAACGGGUUAAUAUUCCCGUACUUGGUGUUACUGCGAAGGGGGGACGGAGAAGGCUAUGUUGGCCGGGCGACGGUUGUCCCGGUUUAAGCGUGUAGGUGUGUGUUCCAGGUAAAUCCGGUUCACUUUAACAC
rnacentral:rRNA from 1 species